GACGAACGCUGGCGGCGUGCUUAACACAUGCAAGUCGAACGGUAAGGCCCCUUCGGGGGUACACGAGUGGCGAACGGGUGAGUAACACGUGAGCAACCUGCCCUUGACUCUGGGAUAACAGUUGGAAACAGCUGCUAAUACUGGAUAUUCAUCGUCUCCUUCCUGGGGGGUGGUGGAAAGCUCCGGCGGUCAGGGAUGGGCUCGCGGCCUAUCAGCUUGUUGGUGAGGUAAUGGCUCACCAAGGCUUCGACGGGUAGCCGGCCUGAGAGGGCGACCGGCCACACUGGGACUGAGAUACGGCCCAGACUCCUACGGGAGGCAGCAGUGGGGAAUAUUGCACAAUGGGCGCAAGCCUGAUGCAGCAACGCCGCGUGCGGGAUGACGGCCUUCGGGUUGUAAACCGCUUUCAGUAGGGACGAAGGGUGACUGACGGUACCUACAGAAGAAGGACCGGCUAACUACGUG
rnacentral:rRNA from 1 species